rnacentral:misc_RNA from 1 species
UCCCUGUUGCCAGGGCAGUCUUGCCUGAAAAAUACAACAGACAAUAAGGGUUGCGCUCGUUGAUGGACUUAACCAAACAUCUCACGACACGAGCUGACGACGGCCAUGCAACACCUGUCACUGCGCUCACAAGGCACAGUCUCCUUUCGGAGACCUUCGCAGGAUGUCAAGCCUGGGUAAGGUUCUUCGUUUACCAUCGAAUUAAACAACACGCUCCACCGCUUGUGCGGGUCCCCGUCAAUUCCUUUAUGUUUUAGUCUUGCGACCGUACUCCACAGGCGGGAUGCUUAACGCGUUAGCUUCGCUACAUUCGGGGUCGAUACCGAAUACAGCUAGCAUCCAUCGUUUACGGCGUGGACUAC